GGAGGUUACGGCUAUCGGUGUUCGCCUAACCCAUGCGGGUCAUAUGUUCUUCGUGAACAUGGCGUACUGCUCAGUAACACGUGAAUAACCUGCCCUUGGGACCGGCAUAACCCCGGGAAACUGGGGAUAAUUCCGGAUACCGCAUAUAUGCUGGAAUGCUUUAUGCGUGAAAUGGAUUCGUCUGCCCAAGGAUGGAUCUGCGGCCUAUCAGGUAGUAGUGGGUGUAAUGUACCUACUACCCUACAACGGGUACGGGUUGUGAAAGCAAAACCCCGGAAAUGGAUUCUGAAACAUGAAUCCAGGCCCUACGGGGCGCACCAC
rnacentral:rRNA from 1 species